rnacentral:rRNA from 1 species
GUUUGAUCCUGGCUCAGGAUGAACGCUGGCGGCGUGCUUAACACAUGCAAGUCGAGCGAAGCACUUAAGUGGAUCUCUUCGGAUUGAAACUUAUUUGACUGAGCGGCGGACGGGUGAGUAACGCGUGGGUAACCUGCCUCGUACAGGGGGAUAACAGUUAGAAAUGGCUGCUAAUACCGCAUAAGCGCACAGGACCGCAUGGUCUGGUGUGAAAAACUCCGGUGGUAUGAGAUGGACCCGCGUCUGAUUAGCUAGUUGGAGGGGUAACGGCCCACCAAGGCAACGAUCAGUAGCCGGCCUGAGAGGGUGAACGGCCACAUUGGGACUGAGACACGGCCCAGACUCCUACGGGAGGCAGCAGUGGGGAAUAUUGCACAAUGGGGGAAACCCUGAUGCAGCGACGCCGCGUGAAGGAAGAAGUAUCUCGGUAUGUAAACUUCUAUCAGCAGGGAAGAAAAUGACGGUACCUGACUAAGAAGCCCCGGCUAACUACGUGCCAGCAGCCGCGGUAAUACGUAGGGGGCAAGCGUUAUCCGGAUUUAUUGGGUUUAAAGGGAGCGUAGGUGGAUUGUUAAGUCAGUUGUGAAAGUUUGCGGCUCAACCGUAAAAUUGCAGUU